rfam:Terrimicrobium sacchariphilum DNA, scaffold: TSACC_2, strain: NM-5.
GCCGGCGUGGCGGAACUGGCAGACGCGCACGACUCAAAAUCGUGUUCCUUUCAGGAGUGUGGGUUCGAUCCCCUCCGCCGGCA